CCCCCGCCGCUGCCCGAGGCAGCCGUGCGCCGCCCCAGCCCGCGCAGCCCCGGCCGCGCCCGCCCCGUCCCAUCGCGCCCCUACUCGGCGCCGCUGUUCUCAGGUCGGCAGCCUCCGGGGCGCAGCGGGGAGGUGAGGAGGGUAGGGACCGCGGGCCGGCCAGCGCCCGGCGCCGGAGACGGGGAGCGCUGGGGAAAGCAGCGCCUUCCUUGCGCGCAGGGGACCCGGGAGCGCAGCGGGCGCGGGGCGCCGCGGGGCGCGGGGCGCGGGGCAGCGGGCGCGGGGCGGCGGCGGCCCCGGGCGGCUCUCCCACUAGGGGUAGCUGUUGCCUGAACGCCGGAGCGCUCCCCUCUCGCCGCUCGUCUCGCACGGCGCGGCCCCGGCCGCCGGGCGCACCCGUCCCGUGCGUCCCCGGACGUUGCUCUCUGCCCCGGGAACGUCGAGACUGGAGCGCCCGAGCUGAGCCACCUUCGCCGACCCCGAGCGCUGCGGCCCGACUCACCGCGGCGGCGCCCGGACGCGUAAAUGGGCGAUUUCUCUGCUGCCUGGGGCGGGGGCGCCGGGGGCUACCCAGCCCGGAAACUCCCCGCAGAGGAAGGCCAGCCUGGGCCUCGCUCUUCUCAGCGCGCACAUUGCCCCUCACCCCGCUGGGUAGGGGUCUUUCAGCACCUGCCCACGCUGCCUCCAGCCCGAGCUCAGGAGAGCCGCGCUUGUCCUUAGGGCCGCCAGCUGCUCUGGGGGAUCUGCUUCUGCUGUUUGGGCUGACAGCCUCCGCCCCACACCUCCGGAUUCCAGAACAUCGGUCAAGGUGCUCAGGACCAUCUGUGCAGGAACGUCCACACCUGCAGCGCCACUGAACUUCUCCCUCAGGAUGUCCCCAGGCAGACCGCCCUCAACACGGC
rnacentral:lncRNA from 1 species